UAGGGAAUAUUAGUAAUGGGCGAAAGCCUGAACUAGCAACGCCGCGUGUGCGAAGAAGGCCUUCGGGUUGUAAAGCACUUUUUGAGAGGAUGAGGAAGGACGGUACUCUCAGAAUAAGUCUCGGCUAACUACGUGCCAGCAGCCGCGGUAACACGUAGGAGGCGAACGUUAUCCGGAUUUACUGGGCGUAAAGCGCGUGUAGGUGGUUUGGUAAGUAGGGCGUGAAAGCUCCUGGCUCAACUGGGAGAGGCCGUUCUAAACUGCCGAACCAGAGGAUGGUAGAGGGAGGUGGAAUUCCGGGUGUAGUGGUGGAAUGCGCAGAUAUCCGGAGGAACACCAGUGGCGAAAGCGGCCUCCUGGACCAUUCCUGACACUCAGACGCGAAAGCUAGGGUAGCGAACGG
rnacentral:rRNA from 1 species